AGAUGUCACCAAUUAACGCGCUGC
rnacentral:siRNA from 1 species